GAUGAACGCUGGCGGCGUGCCUAAUACAUGCAAGUCGAGCGAACAGAUGAGGAGCUUGCUCCUCUGACGUUAGCGGCGGACGGGUGAGUAACACGUGGAUAACCUACCUAUAAGACUGGGAUAACUUCGGGAAACCGGAGCUAAUACCGGAUAAUAUAUUGAACCGCAUGGUUCAAUAGUGAAAGACGGUUUUGCUGUCACUUAUAGAUGGAUCCGCGCCGCAUUAGCUAGUUGGUAAGGUAACGGCUUACCAAGGCAACGAUGCGUAGCCGACCUGAGAGGGUGAUCGGCCACACUGGAACUGAGACACGGUCCAGACUCCUACGGGAGGCAGCAGUAGGGAAUCUUCCGCAAUGGCCGAAAGCCUGACGGAGCAACGCCGCGUGAGUGAUGAAGGUCUUCGGAUCGUAAAACUCUGUUAUUAGGGAAGAACAAAUGUGUAAGUAACUAUGCACGUCUUGACGGUACCUAAUCAGAAAGCCACGGCUAACUACGUG
rnacentral:rRNA from 1 species